AUGAACGCUAGCGGCAGGCCUAAUACAUGCAAGUCGGACGGGAUCUAAAUUAAGCUUGCUUAAUUUUAGUGAGAGUGGCGCACGGGUGCGUAACGCGUGAGCAACCUACCCAUAUCAGGGGGAUAGCCCGGUGAAAAUCGGAUUAACACCGCAUGACACAGCGACUCGGCAUCGAGAUGUUGUUAAAUAUUUAUAGGAUAUGGAUGGGCUCGCGUGACAUUAGCUAGUUGGUAAGGUAACGGCUUACCAAGGCAACGAUGUCUAGGGGCUCUGAGAGGAGAAUCCCCCACACUGGUACUGAGACACGGACCAGACUCCUACGGGAGGCAGCAGUAAGGAAUAUUGGUCAAUGGAGGGAACUCUGAACCAGCCAUGCCGCGUGCAGGAUGACUGCCCUAUGGGUUGUAAACUGCUUUUGUCCAGGAAUAAACACCUCUACGUGUAGAGGCUUGAAUGUACUGGAAGAAUAAGGAUCGGCUAACUCCGUG
rnacentral:rRNA from 1 species